rnacentral:rRNA from 1 species
AAACCAGACUCCUACGGGAGGCAGCAGUGAUUCCUCUUGGUCAAUUUUCUCGAGCCUGCCCCCGCCAAGUCGCCCUCCCGAUGACGCCACUACGGGUUGUCCCACUCUUUUGUACGGCCGCAAUUGGGUCCCCGCAUGGGCUUCCAGAGAGUACCUGAAGAAAAAGCAUCGGCUAACUCCGUGCCAGCAGCAGCGGUAAUCCGGAGGAUGCGCGCGUUAUCCGGAUUUAUUGGGUUUAAAGGGUGCGUAGGCGGAAUAUCAAGUCAGCGGUAAAAAUUCGGGGCUCAACCCCGUCGUGCCGUUGAAACUGAUGUUCUUGAGUGGGCGAGAAGUAUGCGGAAUGCGUGGUGUAGCGGUGAAAUGCAUAGAUAUCACGCAGAACCCCGAUUGCGAAGGCAGCCUUCCGGCGCCCUACUGACGCUGAGGCACGAAAGUGCGGGGAUCGAACAGGAUUAGAUACCCGUGUA